rnacentral:lncRNA from 1 species
GCUGCUUCUGUCUCUCUCUUCCCUCCACGAUGAAUGUGGAGGCCCUUUCUUGAGAUGGAUUGAAGCAGCCUGGCUUGUGAGUCACUGCACGGAGAAUGGCUGCGCUGGAUUGUUAUCUGCAACCACCUGCUUAUAUGAAACUCCUUGGAUGGUGACCUGCGCAUCCCGGGAGAAACUUUGUUAACGACUUAUGUGCACCUGGUUUGGGUCAGAAUUAAACAGCCACGCUGAACACCGUGCCCUUGUGGAAUGACAAAUUGAUAUGCUUAAAAGAUGCCUGUGGACAACUGGUUGAGAUCCUGAUCGAGGUUCGUCGUUCUUUACAACGAGACGAAGGCAUGGACUCGGAUGGUUCAACCAUCUAGUGAGCUUUGUCUGUUCUAUUUAUAAUGAGAGUGUAACAGUACUAACGUAUUUCAUUGAGUCCAAGAUACAGCCCCUCCCGCAGACACACACAUUCUUAGCAGCUGUGUAAUUCGGAUGUGUCUUAUGCUCAGUGUCUUAUUGUCAUUGACACAAGGUCAUGACAGGGUUGUCAUCGCCUGACACCUUCUGUCAGAAUCACAGCGCAGCACCCUUGAAAGAAAUGCUUCCUCGUCAAUGCUGUUGAUGGCCUAG